GAGACAAGCUACUACCAGCACAUAGUUACAAUGAGAGGCCAAAAUAUUCUCUCUUUAAUCUACAACAUGAUUCCUGGUACCAAAAUAUGUAUACAAGUGCCUGUCAACCAUCGAGGACCCUGUUGAGAUGCAUGAAGAGGGAACCCCUGCUGUCUGAUCAACCCUAAUCCUGCACCCC